CCCAUGUAUUUAGAAGAAAAAGAUUAUCUUUUUCUAAAUAAACACUACACCUUUAAAUGGGAAAAGAAGGGUUUUAAUUCUCUUGGCAUAAAUAUUGUAUACGAUCCCUCUAACAUAAUGAAGGCCAAUUUAAUUCCAUUAAUAAGAAAUUACUCUUUUUUUAAAACAAUGGAGUACACUAGAAAUAUCAUGGUGGGGUAGACUUAACUCUAUAAAAGCCUUUAUUUUCCCUAAGAUAAUCUAUUUACUAAGAAUGAAUCCGAUGCCUAUACAUCCUUACUGGCUGACUCUUAUAAAUAACAUUUUUAGAAAUUAUACUUGGCUGAAUAAUAUGGCAUAAAUUUCUUCAAUGGUGUAUACAGAAAAAUUGUAUCUCAGAUAAUCCUUCCAUCCCUGACAUUCUCUCUUUUUUACAAGAUGGUUUCCAG